GAUGAACGCUGGCGGCGUGCCUAAUACAUGCAAGUCGAGCGAACAGACGAGGAGCUUGCUCCUCUGACGUUAGCGGCGGACGGGUGAGUAACACGUGGAUAACCUACCUAUAAGACUGGGAUAACUUCGGGAAACCGGAGCUAAUACCGGAUAAUAUAAUGAACCGCAUGGUUCAAUAGUGAAAGACGGUUUUGCUGUCACUUAUAGAUGGAUCCGCGCCGCAUUAGCUAGUUGGUAAGGUAACGGCUUACCAAGGCAACGAUGCGUAGCCGACCUGAGAGGGUGAUCGGCCACACUGGAACUGAGACACGGUCCAGACUCCUACGGGAGGCAGCAAUAGGGAAUCUUCCGCAAUGGGCGAAAGCCUGACGGAGCAACGCCGCGUGAGUGAUGAAGGUCUUCGGAUCGUAAAACUCUGUUAUUAGGGAAGAACAAAUGUGUAAGUAACUAUGCACGUCUUGACGGUACCUAAUCAGAAAGCCACGGCUAACUACGUG
rnacentral:rRNA from 1 species